GAUCUUAUAGUUUAUUAAGAAUUUUAAUUUGCAAAAUUAAUGGUAUUUAUUAUUAAGAUCU
rnacentral:tRNA from 1 species